ACUCAAAUGAAUUGACGGGGACCCGCACAAGCGGUGGAUUAUGUGGAUUAAUUCGAUGCAACGCGAAAAACCUUACCUACCCUUGACAUGUCCUGAAUCCUAGAGAGAUCUGGGAGUGCCCGAAAGGGAACGGGAACACAGGUGCUGCAUGGCUGUCGUCAGCUCGUGUCGUGAGAUGUUGGGUUAAGUCCCGCAACGAGCGCAACCCUUGUCAUUAGUUGCUACAUUCAGUUGGGCACUCUAGUGAGACUGCCGGUGACAAACCGGAGGAAGGUGGGGAUGACGUCAAGUCCUCAUGGCCCUUAUGGGUAGGGCUUCACACGUAAUACAAUGGCGCGUACAGAGGGUUGCCAAGCCGCGAGGUGGAGCCAAUCCCACAAAGCGCGUCGUAGUCCGGAUUGCAGUCUGCAACUCGACUGCAUGAAGUCGGAAUCGCUAGUAAUCGUGGAUCAGCAUGUCACGGUGAAUACGUUCCCGGGUCUUGUACACACCGCCCGU
rnacentral:rRNA from 1 species